UCAGAUUUUGAUCAGGAAAACACUUCCUCUUGUUUGAUCCUACCAUGGUCAGAGAACCAGGUGAUGCCUGUAAAUGUGGAAUUUUCCACUUACUAGAAUUGUUGUGGCUGGACCAAAUUGGAUUUUUACUGUUUUGGGGAAGUCAGGAAGGCUCUAAGACAAGAGUCUCCUAAAGAAUGUCACUAGGACAGUUCGACCUUAGAGAAAACAGUUACGCAGAACCAUAAAGAUAAAGAAAUUUCAAAACAAGCGCCUCAACCAAAACAGACUACCCUUGAAGGACAUGAUAUACAUGAUCUCAGAACUGAGUAUGCGCAAAAACAGAGGUCAGCCAGCGGACACAGUGAGGAAGAGUAUAUCCUUCAUCCAGAGACCCCUGACGACCACCCGGAGCCAUAAACAGACAUGCGCAAGAGACAUUUGCAUAUGAUAAUGAGUUCCUGGAAAUCUGGUGAAUAUGUAUAAUGAGUUCCCGGAAAUCUGAUGAAUAUGUAUGUAGAGCUUGUAUAUAAACUAUGCAAUUAACCUGACCGGACACACACAAUAGGAGGAGAUAUCCCCUGUGUGUCCAGCGCUGCAAUAAAGAAUACCUACUUAAUAGUCCCUAGACUAUUGAGUCUUUGAUUUCAGCCUUUCACGGCAACAGUUCUGGCACCCCAGAUGGGACCUGCUCUGCUCGGCUGCAGGACCCGCUGAGAACAGGACUCCCUAGGGUACCCCCGGGAUUUCCCGGAGGGACUCCUCGCCUCAAUUGGAUCACUGCGGGAGCAGACAAGGACCAUCCAACAUCUAAAGGAGUAAAGGUAUUCUUUAAAUCUUUUGGGUUUCUGUUUUGGAAUUUGGGACCGGUCAUUUGGAAGGUUCUCAUAAGUCGUAGGAGACGUCCUACGCUGAGCACCGUAUACCAGGCUACUAGUGCCUGAGGGUAUACAUUCGGUAUUUUGGUAUGUUGGUACAGGCACGGGUUAAGCUUUGUACUUCUGCAAUAACGUACUUUCGGUAUUGGUACAUUUAUAUAACCCGCAUAAGUUUUGUACUUUUGGCAAUACAGAUUUAUUGGUACUGAACUCGGAUAUUGGCUUAUUGAUAUUGAAUUUGAACAUACCCGUCAGGCAUUGUAAAAUUGGCAAUUGAGUAUGAAUGAGCUGAGCUGAGUUAACUCUGAUGUGACUGGUGAGUGAAUGAGUGAUUGAGGUACGGUACGGUUGCAAAGUGGGUGUGAAAAACCUGGAGAACUGUGCAUUUCACCAUGAAAAUGAAUGUGAAUUUUUUUCUUGUGAAUUGUUUUAUUUGUGAUCAGAAUUUGUGGGUAAAAUUUGGAUGGGAUAUUAAUUGUGACAUUUGACUCCGACAUUCGUCGGAGUAGGACGAAAAGGAGCGACAGGCUGAGGUUAUUAAAAUAAUCUGUGAGAGAAUAACGGAAGUACAGAAUCAGUAAGGUAGAAUGGGGGGACAGCAAAGCAGUGGUAUUGUAAGGAAAAGCCCCCUAGGAUAGAUCCUAGCACAUUGGAAAGAUAUAGGGGGACCACCAAGUGGGAGUGUGAAUAAGAAAACAUUGAUCAAAUAUUGUAACCAGUGGUGGCCCCUGUACAAACUAGAAGAUGAUGAAAAAUGGCCCUUCAACGGAUCUUUGAAUUAUAAUACUAUAUUAUAGUUGAUGUUGUUUUUACGGAGAGAAGGAAAAUGGGAUGAGGUUAGAAGAUCAGAAAGGAAUAGAAGGACCAAUUAAUAACUUUUUACAGCAUGGACUAUUAGUGGAAUGUGAAUCAGAAUAUAAUACCCCCAUAUUACCGGUGAAAAAGCCGGACGGAACUUAUCGGGUAGUACAGGAUUUAAGAGAAGUCAAUAAAAUUGUUAAGGACCUACACCCUGUGGCAGCCAAUCCUUAUACUUUACUUACUAAAUUACGAGAUAAUCAAGUAUGGUUUACGGUAUUAGAUUUGAAAGAUGCAUUCUUCUGUUUGCCUUUAGCCAAAAAAAAGUCAAAAUUUAUUUGCAUUUGAAUGGGAAAGUCCUACCACUGGUAGGAAAACCCAGCUUACCUGGACAGUGUUACCCCAAGGUUUUAAGAAUAGUCCAACAAUCUUUGGAAAUCAAUUAGCACGAGAACUUGAAACAUGGGAUCCUCCCUCCGGAGAUGGAAUCCUUUUACAGUAUGUGGAUGACUUAUUAAUAGCAACUGAAACAAAACCUGACUGUAUACAGUGGACUAUCAGCUUGUUGAACUUUUUGGGACUAAAUGGGUAUCGAGUCUCUCAACAGAAAGCUCAAAUGGUGUGGCAACGGGUAACCUACCUUGGAUUCGAACUAUCUGGAGGACAAAGAGAAUUAGGAACAGAACGAAAAGAGGCCAUCUGCAGGACUCCCCUCCCUCAGACGGUAAAAGAACUCAGGACUUUUCUGGGAAUGACAGGUUGGUGCCGGUUAUGGAUUUAUAAUUACGGAAUAAUAGUAAAACCUUUGUAUGAGCUUUUGAAAAAUAACCCCACUCGAUUGAUUUGGUCUAAAGAAGCUCAAAAUGCAUUUGAGACACUUAAGAAAGAACUAAUGAAGGCCCUGGCCCUAGGUCUACCUGAUGUUACUAAACCCUUCUGGCUGUUCUCCCAUGAAAGACAAGGUAUAGCUCUGGGAGUCCUGGCUCAACGACUAGGACCCUACAAAAGAGCUGUGGCCUAUUUUUCUAAACAGCUCGACAAAAUAAGCAAAGGAUGGCCAGGAUGUCUGCAAGCUGUGGCGGCUGUGGUCUUGAAUAUUCAGGAAGCCUGAAAAUUUACCUUGGGCCAAAAGAUCACAGUGCUGGUUUCACACACAGUAUCAGCUGUACUGGAACAGAAAGGGAAUCAUUGGCUUUCCCCAUCCCGAUUUCUAUUCUGAUUGAACCAGAUGAUGUUAAUAUUGAAGUAACUAAUGUUAUGAACCCAGCUUCUUUUCUCAGUGGGGUGACUUCUGAACCGUUGACACAUGAUUGCUUAGAAACCAUAGAGACUGUGUACUCCAGCAGACCAGAUUUGAAAGAACCACCCCUGGAAGAUGCACAGGACUCCUGGUUCACGGAUGGAAGCAGCUUCAUCUGACAAGACUACCCUUGAAGGACAUGAUAUACAAGAUCUCAGAACUGAGUAUGCGCAAAACCAGAGGUCAGCCAGCGGACACAGUGAGGAAGAGUAUAUCCUUCAUCCAGAGACCCCUGACGACCACCCGGAGCCAUAAACAGACAUGCGCAAGAGACAUUUGCAUAUGAUAAUGAGUUCCUGGAAAUCUGGUGAAUAUGUAUAAUGAGUUCCCGGAAAUCUGAUGAAUAUGUAUGUAGAGCUUGUAUAUAAACUAUGCAAUUAACCUGACCGGACACACACAAUAGGAGGAGAUAUCCCCUGUGUGUCCAGUGCUGCAAUAAAGAAUACCUACUUAAUAGUC